GAUGAACGCUGGCGGCGUGCUUAACACAUGCAAGUCGAACGGAAAGGCCCAAGCUUGCUUGGGUACUCGAGUGGCGAACGGGUGAGUAACACGUGGGUGAUCUGCCCUGCACUUCGGAAUAAGCCUGGGAAACUGGGUCUAAUACCGGAUAGGUCCACUUCUUGGAUGGUGUGGUGGAAAGUUUUUUCGGUGUGGGAUGAGCUCGCGGCCUAUCAGCUUGUUGGUGGGGUAAUGGCCUACCAAGGCGUCGACGGGUAGCCGGCCUGAGAGGGUGUACGGCCACAUUGGGACUGAGAUACGGCCCAGACUCCUACGGGAGGCAGCAGUGGGGAAUAUUGCACAAUGGGCGCAAGCCUGAUGCAGCGACGCCGCGUGGGGGAUGACGGCCUUCGGGUUGUAAACUCCUUUCGCUAGGGACGAAGCGUUUUGUGACGGUACCUGGAGAAGAAGCACCGGCUAACUACGUGCCAGCCGCCGCGGUAA
rnacentral:rRNA from 1 species